rnacentral:rRNA from 1 species
ACAGUCACACAUUAGAUACCCCUGUAGUCCUAGCCGUAAACGAUACUCGCUAGGUGUCGGCCACGGUGCGACCGUUGUCGGUGCCGUAGGGAAGCCGUGAAGCGAGCCACCUGGGAAGUACGGCCGCAAGGCUGAAACUUAAAGGAAUUGGCGGGGGAGCACAACAACGGGUGGAGCUUGCGGUUUAAUUGGAUUCAACGCCGGAAAUCUUACCAGGACCGACAGCAACAUGAAGGCCAAGCUGAAGACUUUGCCGGAUUAGCUG